rnacentral:rRNA from 1 species
UGAACGCUGGCGGGCGCCUAACACAUGCAAGUCGAGCGGUAACAGGUGUAGCAAUACAUGCUGACGAGCGGCGAACGGGUGAGUAAUGCUUCGGAAUCUGCCCAAUGGUGGGGAAUAACCAGCCGAAAGGCUGGCUAAUACCGCAUAAGUCCUACGGGGGAAAGCAGGGGAUCGCAAGACCUUGCGCCGAUGGAUGAGCCGAAGUCGGAUUAGCUAGUUGGUAGGGUAACGGCCUACCAAGGCGACGAUCCGUAGCUGGUCUGAGAGGACGACCAGCCACACUGGGACUGAGACACGGCCCAGACUCCUACGGGAGGCAGCAGUGGGGAAUAUUGGACAAUGGGGGAAACCCUGAUCCAGCGACGCCGCGUGUGUGAAGAAGGCCUGCGGGUUGUAAAGCACUUUUAGUGGGGAUGAAAAGCUCAGGGCUAACACCUCUGGGUCUUGACCUAACCCAAAGAAAAAGCACCGGCUAACUCUGUGCCAGCAGCCGCGGUAAUACAGAGGGUGCGAGCGUUAAUCGGAAUUACUGGGCGUAAAGCGUGCGUAGACGGUUAUGUAAGUCGGGUGUGAAAGCCCC